CCCUACAGUCAUAUCACUCUGAAUGCAUCUGAUCUCUUCUUGUCUCAGAAGCUAAGCAGGGUAGAGUCUGGUUAGUACUCAGGUGGGAGGCACUGAGAAGUCACCGUAGAAUUUGGGGC
rnacentral:rRNA from 1 species